CAAAUAAUAAGAUUCAAAUUUUUAUGCUUAAAAGUUAAAACCAUUAAAAUUUGUUAGGUAAAAUGGUAAAAACCAUGCACCUAUUUAUACCGGUUUAUAACUAUUUAUAAAUUAACCUAUGAAUUUAGUUUGCCUAGAAUCUCAUGUCAAUACUGAAAUAAACUUAGAUCUUAGUGUUUCGGAUAUACCUGGUUACUCGCAUCGGAAAAAUAAAUAAACCAAGUCGAGAAUUCUAGCACUCCAAAUGUCGUGCCUCUACCGGUAUCCAC
rnacentral:lncRNA from 1 species